CUGAUUUGGGCGCAAUUCAUCCCCUCUGUCUAAAUGUACAGAGUCGGCUGCAGCUUCUGUGCUCACAAGAGCCAGGGCUUCAGCCCAGAAUAUCAGGCCAAAUGAUCAGACAUUUAUGGUGUUUGCUGCCUGUACACAGAUGGAACACAUGUUGAUUUUGUUUCCUUUUUUAAGAGGAAAACAAUCAGAUGUAUGAAAUGGCUUUUAGCCUCUUAAUUUGCGGUUGGUCGCUUCAGUAACAUCAUCUAGGUGUUGCUGUUCCUGCAGAAGUCCUAGAGACAGUGAUCUGCCCCAGCAAACAGACUUCUGCAGAACAAGCUGCUGUACCUAAGAACCAACCAACUCUUCUCAAGUAGAUUUACUGUGCUGUGCUUUUGCUUGGGCUUCAUCUUAAACUCAUCUGACAAGGUACGUAAAUGGCUAAGCAAAUAUUCAGACUGUUUACAUCAUUCAGUCAGCAAGCCAAGUUCGUUUAGAAAAAAUAACAUUAUUUUAUUCUUAAUACAACUAAGGUUUCACAUGAUCCUGUUGAAUUUAAUGUUCAGGAAGACCUAGGUUUUUCCUCUCAUGCCUGCCCCUCUCUUAUAAG
rnacentral:lncRNA from 1 species